UUGUAUUCAUUUGUGGGUUUAUUGUAUUUCAAGUUUCUUUGAAAAGAAAUUUGGAUUGAUCCAAGCCUUGAGUUGGACAAAAAGGUUUUGAUUGAUUAGCCUAUUUGAAAAAUCAGGGUUGAUUGUUAGCCCGAAGAAAAAUAAUCACUUGUGAGAUUUUUAUUGGUGAUCGAGAAAAAACCAAUUGGAUUGAUUGUGAGUCCAAAAAAUAAUUUUGUAUAAUUUUAAUUGGUGAGUUAGAAAAAACCACCUAGAUUUGAUUGUUAGCCUAAAAAUUAGUAAGACUGUAAUUCUAGUUA
rnacentral:lncRNA from 1 species